rnacentral:rRNA from 1 species
GACAGAGGGUGCAAACGUUGUUCGGAAUUACUGGGCGUAAAGUGCACGUAGGCGGCUUUGUAAGUUAGAGGUGAAAGCCCAGGGCUUAACCCUGGAAUUGCCUUUAAGACUGCAUCGCUAGAAUCGUGGAGAGGUAAGUGGAAUUCCGAGUGUAGAGGUGAAAUUCGUAGAUAUUCGGAAGAACACCAGUGGCGAAGGCGACUUACUGGACACGUAUUGACGCUGAGGUGCGAAAGCGUGGGGAGCAAACAGG